rnacentral:rRNA from 1 species
GAUGAACGCUGGCGGCGUGCCUAAUACAUGCAAGUCGAGCGAACAGAUGAGGAGCUUGCUCCUCUGACGUUAGCGGCGGACGGGUGAGUAACACGUGGAUAACCUACCUAUAAGACUGGGAUAACUUCGGGAAACCGGAGCUAAUACCGGAUAAUAUAUUGAACCGCAUGGUUCAAUAGUGAAAGACGGUUUUGCUGUCACUUAUAGAUGGAUCCGCGCCGCAUUAGCUAGUUGGUAAGGUAACGGCUUACCAAGGCAACGAUGCGUAGCCGACCUGAGAGGGUGAUCGGCCACACUGGAACUGAGACACGGUCCAGACGCCUACGGGAGGCAGCAGUAGGGAAUCUUCCGCAAUGGGCGAAAGCCUGACGGAGCAACGCCGCGUGAGUGAUGAAGGUCUUCGGAUCGUAAAACUCUGUUAUUGGGGAAGAACAAAUGUGUAAGUAACUAUGCACGUCUUGACGGUACCUAAUCAGAAAGCCACGGCUAACUACGUG